ACAUUGGAAUCCAGCAGUAAAAGUGACGACGAAGACAUCCCCAGAGACCCUACACCGUCUCAGAAGCUCCCAGAUGAUCGGUGCGUUGCCGUUGACGAGAAAAAAGAACAACUCCAUUGCGAAGAAACCGACGAAAAGAUGUCUGUAGAGUCAAAGGUGGAAAAGGCCCCACUGAAAAGACAGCCGAGUUGUGACUCCCUCUUCACCGGGAAGCACUUGAAGCCCACCGGCGUCUGGACGCCGUACGGCCCGCCGCUGUACGGGUACGGCUCCGCCCUGAACCCGUCGCACAGGAAAGGGCCGGGCACGCUGGUCAUCCUCGCCGCCAUCUUCUACUGCCUGGCCGCCCUGA